rnacentral:rRNA from 1 species
AUGGCGGACUGGGCGGGGCUCCACGAGGACUUCCUCCUCCUGCUCGUCCCGCGCCUCCCCUCCCUCGACCUCCGCACCUUCCGCGCCGUCUGCGCCUCCUGGCGCGCCGCCGCGGCCACCUUCGCCUCGGCCGGCGGCCGCCCGCGCCCCGACCGCCCCUGGCUCCUCCUCCCCGCCGACGCGCCCGACCCGGAAUUUCGCCGCCUCGUCAUCCGCCGCGACCGCGAGGUCCCCGUCGUCGCCCUCCCCGCGCGCCUCGGGCGCGCGCACGACCGCCGCUUGUUCCCCCUCGGGUCCUCCCGCGGCGUCAUCGUGGCCGCCGACGACCGCGGGGCCAUGCACCUGCUCGACCUCUCCACCGGUAGGCGCGCGCCUCUGCCCCCCGUCGCGGCGCUCCCCCUCGCCGACCGCGUCGAAAGGACCCCUGCCGGCCUCACUGUCCACCUCAAACGCGACCCACGGGUGUACUCUAUCGACGGCCUGAUCCACCGCGAGGACACCCUGAUCCGCAAGGCCGUCCCGGUGCCCACGCCCGGCGGCGGGGCGAUGGUGAUCGUCAUCUACUACCCAGAGGGCCAUCGCCACCAGUGGGCCACCGCUCGUCCCGGCGACAGCGCCUGGAAAUCCGUGAAGCCGAGCAGCAUCCCCGCCGUGGUGGACCUGGCGCUCCACCGCGGCCAGCUCUACGCCAACACCCUCUUCGGGAUGGUGUACGUCUACCCGGAGCUGCACGGGCUGGGCUCCGCGUCCCCGGAUAUCAUCCCGUCCAUGACUCGGAGGCCUACCUCGGGCUUGAAGAGCAGCUUACUCGUGCAGACCCCGGGAGGCGGCGCGCUGAUGCAGGUGGAGUUCGUCCGCCCCGCGGUGGAUGGCGAGGGCGGGGAGUUCGUGGUUCGCGUGCUGGACGAGUGCGGCGGGACGUGGGAGGAGGAGGAGGACAUCGGCGACGUGGCGGUGCUCGUGGACGCGUCGGGCGCGGUGGCCGUGUCCACGAGGGAGUGCCCCGGGCUGAGGCCCAGCACCAUCUACUACGCGGACCUCUACGGUGGUGAGACACGGGUUCGGGCGUACAGCCUCGCCGGCAAGCACAAGAAGGUCGAGGUCGUCGAGUCCCUCCCCAGGGCGGAGGGAAACAACCGGCCGUGCUUCUGGUUCACGCCGGUCUAUUCACAGUGA